rnacentral:rRNA from 1 species
GAACGCGAAGAACCUUACCCGGGCUUGAACUGCCGGUGUCGGUAUGAGAGAUCAUGCUUUCCUUCGGGACACUGGUGGAGGUGCUGCAUGGUUGUCGUCAGCUCGUGCCGUGAGGUGUCGGCUUAAGUGCCAUAACGAGCGCAACCCCUGUCGUCAGUUGCCAUCAGGUAAUGCUGGGCACUCUGGAGAUACUGCCACCGUAAGGUGUGAGGAAGGUGGGGAUGACGUCAAAUCAGCACGGCCCUUACGUCCGGGGCUACACACGUGUUACAAUGGCGUGUACAGCGAGUCGGUACCGGGCAACCGGUAUCCAAUCAAGAAAACACGUCUCAGUUCGGACUGGGGUCUGCAACCCGACCCCACGAAGCUGGAUUCGCUAGUAAUCGCGCAUCAGCCAUGGCGCGGUGAAUACGUUCCCGGGUCUUGUACACACC